UGUCUCUUUAUCUCCUUCUUCUUAAAGUCAAUGAUCAGCUCCUUAGUUUUGCUGACUUUGGGCAGUAGGUUGUUCUCUGUGUACCACUCUACAAGAUUAUGAAAUGCUUAUGCAUAUUGUGUGUUUACAUCAACAGAUUAUGUUCUUGGCACAAACGUGGAAUUAGAAUCAUUGACUCCUAAGCUGUCAGACUCGGACUUGCAGAGUGUGUUGGAGAACCUCUUUAGAAGAUACGGCCUGUCACCACAGUUUUCCUUCAAAGUGUUGAGACGUGUGAUCAGAAAAGAUGAGACGAAAUGAAAGAGAAUGGAUAUGCAAUACAAAAACAUUUUUCAAGUUAUUUAGACUUCACAUUUUGAUUAUAUUGCAUUGUAUUUACAUAUACUAAUAUCUCUACUUAAUACUUCUACUGCUAUGAGGAUGUCUUUGUUGUAUGUAUUGCUACCAUUGCAGAAACGUUUUAAGGCAUAUAAAAUAUUCUCUCAAUAA